GCCCGGCUAGCUCAAUCGGCAGAGCGUGAGACUCUUAAUCUCAAGGUUGCGGGUUCAACCCCCGCGUUGGGCU
rfam:Aspergillus aculeatus ATCC 16872 unplaced genomic scaffold ASPACscaffold_1, whole genome shotgun sequence.